rnacentral:rRNA from 1 species
UACGUAGGGUGCGAGCGUUAAUCGGAAUUACUGGGCGUAAAGCGUGCGCAGGCGGUGAUGUAAGACAGAUGUGAAAUCCCCGGGCUCAACCUGGGAACUGCAUUUGUGACUGUAUCGCUGGAGUGCGGCAGAGGGGGAUGGAAUUCCGCGUGUAGCAGUGAAAUGCGUAGAUAUGCGGAGGAACACCGAUGGCGAAGGCAAUCCCCUGGGCCUGCACUGACGCUCAUGCACGAAAGCGUGGGGAGCAAACAGG